rnacentral:misc_RNA from 1 species
UUUUUAUUUUAUUGAAAAUUCUAGUUUAGGGAAAGUAUUUAUGAAAUCUACAAAUGUUACUCCCUUUUAUUGUGAAACCUGCAUUGAUUGUAUUUGUUGAUAGAAAAUAUUGAUUAUUGUAAAUAUCUGAAUGAUCAAAUCAGAUUUGUUGUGUUUCUAAUUCCAAAACUUAUAAAAUUUUUUUAAUAUGUGAACACUGAACACUGAGCAACCCCUUAUAUACAUUUUUCAAAUGCCUCUCCAAAUGUUUUAGUAAUCACCCAUAUUAAUCACAAUUUGACCAAAGUACAACAUAAAGCUUGUAUUAUUAUGUAUUAUUGUAAAUAACAAGUUGAAAUAGUAGCUCAAGUCACAUCUUAGCCUUAAUAGUCAUAUUUUCCCAAAUCUUGAUGACCUUUUUAUGUUUAAUUGUUUUUGUAAUGAUGUGUUGCCAAAACAAUUAUACUAAAAAAUAUGAAAUAAUUGUCUGUAAAAUAUCUCUGAUAAAAACUAAAUUGCCAAGUAAUUUGCAUUAAGAAUUUGUUACAUAUUACUUUUUAUAUUGAAGAGUCUCGUAUAAUCUGUUUUCUGUAUGUUUCAGAUAUACUAUAAAGAUAUAUGAUGGAUGAGAACUAUAACCUAAGAUGGAACGACUAUGAGAAGGGUUUGCUAGGAGGGUUCUCGAGUAUCAGAGAGAACAGAGAACUAUUCGAUAUUUCUCUAAUGUGUGAAGAUACUGUUUUACAGGCCCAUAAGUUGGUGUUAUCUGCCUGCAGCCCUGUUUUCAGACAAAUACUCAAUAGUCUCACACAGAAUAGUCCUAUAGUAUAUCUGAGAGGAGUAUUCUUGAAGAAUAUUGAGUCCCUGUUGAACUUCAUGUACUCCUAUUGUUUAGUAUAUCUGAGAGGAGUAUCCUUGAAGAAUAUGGAGUCCCUGUUGAACUUCAUGUACCAGGGAGAGGUGAACAUCAACCAGAGCAGGAUUACAGAGUUCCUCGCUACAGCAGAAGACUUGAAGAUUAAAGGUUUGUCCCGGAGUGAGGGUGAGUCUGGAUCUAAUAAAACCAAGUCAGUAGAAGAUGAAAAGGAGGAGGAGCAGAUGGAGAAUGGGAAUGGAAGGAAGAGGGUUAAACUAGUUUCAUCCAGAUCUCCAGAUACUGAAGUACAAGCUGUGGCUUUAAAGAAAGAAUUAAAAUCACAAUCUGUGAUGGAGUACAGUCAACCUGUAGAAGAAAACCAAAUUAUCAUUCCAAAAUUAAAGGGCUCAGAUAUGUUGGAUAUUGUUGACAAUGAUUAUAUAGAUGAUGACUUUAACUAUAGUUCCAUGGACUACUCAAGCUUUCAGGAUAAUAGUUCGGACUAUCAAAUACAUAGUAAAGAAUAUCCAACUUCUGAUCCAGGGAGUCAAAUGCAACAGAAACGACGCCGUCAGCAUGUUGUUAGUUUUAUCAGUAUAAAUAAGGUUAGGUUGGAUAACGGGUACCAGUGUCUCCUCUGCAAGAAGCAGACGGCCGAUAACUCAAAUAUGAACAAGCAUAUAGAGUUCACGCAUCAAACUGAUCUUAAAGAAUAUCUUUCUCAUCUUGUAAUGUAGAGUAUUCAAUCAUCUGGUGUAAACACCCCCCCCCCCCUUUUAGAUUUGUUAUUCAUUUCCGAUUCAGGAACUUCAAACAUUCCAACCAUUAAGAUAUAGCCUAAAAUAUUCGAAAAAUUAU